rnacentral:rRNA from 1 species
UACGUAGGGGGCGAGCGUUGUCCGGAAUUAUUGGGCGUAAAGAGCGUGUAGGCGGUUCGGUAAGUCUGCCGUGAAAACCUGGGGCUCAACCCUGGGCGUGCGGUGGAUACUGCCGGGCUAGAGGGUGGUAGGGGAGCAUGGAAUUCCUGGUGUAGCGGUGAAAUGCGCAGAUAUCAGGAGGAACACCAGUGGCGAAGGCGGUGCUCUGGGCCGGAACUGACGCUGAGGAGCGAAAGCGUGGGGAGCAAACAGG